GAUCCUGCUCAGGAUGAACGCUAGCUACAGGCUUAACACAUGCAAGUCGAGGGGCAGCAUGGUCUUAGCUUGCUAAGGCCGAUGGCGACCGGCGCACGGGUGAGUAACAAGUAUCCAACCUGCCGUCUACUCUUGGACAGCCUUCUGAAAGGAAGAUUAAUACAAGAUGGCAUCAUGAGUCCGCAUGUUCACAUGAUUAAAGGUAUUCCGGUAGACGAUGGGGA
rnacentral:rRNA from 1 species